rnacentral:rRNA from 1 species
UACGAAGGGGGCUAGCGUUGCUCGGAAUCACUGGGCGUAAAGCGCACGUAGGCGGCUUUUUAAGUCAGGGGUGAAAUCCUGGAGCUCAACUCCAGAACUGCCUUUGAUACUGAGAAGCUUGAGUCCGGGAGAGGUGAGUGGAACUGCGAGUGUAGAGGUGAAAUUCGUAGAUAUUCGCAAGAACACCAGUGGCGAAGGCGGCUCACUGGCCCGGUACUGACGCUGAGGUGCGAAAGCGUGGGGAGCAAACAGGAGUUAGAU